AAGUGUGUACUGACUAUCGCUCCUGACAAAAUAUCUCCUGAAGUUUGUUUAAUUCGUUGACGCAGCGGUUACAUGUUUCCAUUUACAUGAAGUCGCAAAAGGUGUAUCACAUUCAUCGUGGACAGGUUAGAUUCCGACCUUAUCGUUUAUGGGUAAUAUAUAUUGCUUGAAAUUUAUUAACAAUCACAUGGAGGAUAAAGUUGAUACUUGAUGAUAAAAAGAUAGUAGUAAACUUAAAAUAAAUAGUCGUUAUCAAUAAAAGGCAACAAUUGCAUACUGAAAUAAAAUAUAACUCCAAGAAUGAUCAUGAACAUACCAACAUAGAACUUUGGAUGAGUUUAUAUACACAUAGACAAAAUGAGUUUAUAUACACAUAGUCAAAUAUCAUGAACAUACCAACAUAGAACUUUGGAUGAGAAAGACCAAGAAUGAUCCAACGGAAGUUGGCUAGACAAAUGUAGUUACAAUCAUUGAUCAGUUCAAUCUUGGAAACAACAUAUGAUUCAGAUAACUUGAUAUGUUAGGUGUCAAGGAAAAAUUAAACAGAAUCUUAGAACAUUGUUGUCUCAUUAAAGGAUCAAACUGUGAAACCAGUCCUUUCUAACCGAUGUAUGGAUUUUGUCUCCCUACAAUAUAAUAACAAAUGAAAGCAUCAGAUAAUAAACACAUAAUUUGCUUACGAUUUAAAGAAUAUACAUCAUAAGAAACCUAAUUUUUUCGUCUACGAAAACCAUUCAAUGGUUUCUCCAGUAGGAGCCAAGUACUACUUCCAAAGUUUUAUGACAUUCACCAUAAUCUUCUACAAAAACUUUUUGGCUUCAAGUCAGAAAUGAAAUUCAUGCUUAAUAUAUUUUUGCUAGUUUUGAAACGUGUAGUUUGUGAUAUUGUAGCUAUAUAGAUGAUAUGAUAUAUAUAUAUAUAUAUAGUAACUGAUAGGGUUUUAACCCACGAGAUUUGAAAAAAUAAAUAAUUUUCGCCAUAAAGCAAUAUUACAAAUCCCUAAUUGUUAGUAGAUUUCCAGACAAGUAUAGAAAGUAAUAUACACUGAGUGAUAAAAUUAAGGAAGUCUACAUUAAGAAUGACAUAUUCUUUAAACUGAAUCGGAAAAUUUAAAUUUCCAAAUUUAAUGUCUGUCAACAUUUAUGUUAAUUACGUAAUCAAAAAGUCUUGUAAUCAAAAUUAAGAGAUAGCCUAGAAAAUUUUAAUACAGUUUCACCAAUUUUUGAAUGUAUUUUACUAUCACUCAAGAUUGCUUAUAAAUUUUUUAUAUACGACACUUUGAUUUUACAAUAUAAAUUUAUUUAUAUUUCCAGUUUCAAAUUAAAUUUUACUCACAUAUAUAAUUGUCUCUAAAUAAACCAAAAUAAAUUUCACAAACCAAAUAAUUAUAGAAGAACAUAAUUAUGAAUCGUUUAUACAUUCCAGACCUUAAAAAAUGUCAUGUAUAAUUCAUAAAUCGUAGAAUAUUCAUAUUAUAACAAUAUGAAUCGUAUAUAUGGUCAAAAUAUCAUUUGUGACUAUAAAUAUCAGAUAAUCCUAUUAAUUUCGCAUAACAUUAUAAUCUUAGAUUUCCAGACAUUAUAGAAAGUCUUAUAUGCAAGGAGCAAAAAUAAAGAAAGUCCAUAAUAAAAUGAUAUUUGACUUUAAACUUAAUCAGAGAGGAAUGAUAUAAAUUACCAAAUUUAUUGUCUGUUACCAUUUAAUAUAAUUUCGAAAUCAAAAAGUCUUGUUGCAAAAUUUAAGGGAUUGAAAAAAUUUAAUAUGAAAUUCCUUUUCAGAUGUAUUUUACAAUCACGCAAGAUAUUCAAUAGAUUUUUUAUAGACGACAUUUUGAUUUUACAAUUUAAAAAGUUUAUAUUGAUGCUUUUAAAAUAAAUUCCCAAAAAAAAAUCAUGUAUCCCAUAAUAAUCCAAAAAUAUUAAUCAAAAUAGAUGUCACCUAAAGAAGUUUUAUAGAAGAACGUAAUUCUGAACCGUUUAUAUUUUCCAGUCCUAAAAAAGGUCAUGUUUUAUUUAUGAAUCGUAAAGAACAUGAAUCUUAUAAAACAUGAAUCGUAUAUAUAUAGUAAAAACCUCAACAAUUUUUAUUAAAACAAAAUUAUGUAUGAUAGCUUCUAUGAAAUAAUACAGCAUACACAUCGAAGAAUCCACUAAUAUUAUACUAAAAAUUUGUAAAAUAAUGAAGCAUACACAUCGCUCAAUCCACUAAUAUUAUGCUAAAAAUAUAGAUAACUAUAUUUUACCGUUCUUUUUGUGGCUAUAUAUGUUUUGUUCGAUAAUUAUUAAAAUCCAUUGAAGUGAGUAACUAUACCUUGAAAUGGUUCAUGUUAUAUAUGCAAGGCUUCUUCUCACUGAU